AUGCACCGUGGAUAUCUCACCCUCACUGCCUUCCUGGGCCAACUGCUGGAUACCAUGGGGCAGAUCACCGUCACCCAGCAAGAAGGACAAGUCACAGUGAAGCAGAGAGACACCUUCAAAACAACCUGCACAUACCAAACCUCCAACUUUUAUGGUUUAUUCUGGUACCAGCAGAAGAAAGGCCAAGCCCCUCAGCUGCUCUCAUAUAUGGCAAGAGCUCAAUCCAAGCAGAGUGGCCGUCUCACCACGUUGCUGAACACCACAGAGAAAUACAGCCUCCUGAAGCUGGAGGAAGUUGAGAUCUCCGACAGUGCCUUAUACCUUUGUGCUGUCACUCCUGGUUUUGAUUUUGCAUGGUCAGAGGUUUCGGGAGACAGUCCCAACCUCAGCCUCAUACCGGCAAGUGUCCCAUCUACCUCAUUGAUAGAAACAAAGAAUGCAUGA